rnacentral:rRNA from 1 species
AGAGUUUGAUCCUGGCUCAGGACGAACGCUGGCGGCGCGCCUAACACAUGCAAGUCGAACGGAGCUACUUUGACAGAUUCCUUCGGGAUGACGUUGAUUUAGCUUAGUGGCGAACGGGUGAGUAACACGUGAGCAACCUACCUUUCAGAGGGGGACAACAGUUGGAAACGACUGCUAAUACCGCAUAAGGCCACAGCACCGCAUGGUGCAGGGGUAAAAACUCCGGUGGUAUGAGAUGGACCCGCGUCUGAUUAGCUAGUUGGUAAGGUAAGGGCUUACCAAGGCGACGAUCAGUAGCCGGCCUGAGAGGUUGAUCGGCCACAUUGGGACUGAGACACGGCCCAGACUCCUACGGGAGGCAGCAGUGGGGAAUAUUGCACAAUGGGGGAAACCCUGAUGCAGCGACGCCGCGUGAGCGAUGAAGUAUUUCGGUAUGUAAAGCUCUAUCAGCAGGGAAGAAACUGACGGUACCUGACUAAGAAGCACCGG